AUACCUUUCUUGGCCUUUUGGCUAAGAUCAAGUGUAGUAUCUGUUCUUAUCAGUUUAAUAUCUGAUAUGUGGGCCAAAAUUAAAUUUACUUUUCUAGGGGGAAAGCUCGCCACAGUAGCUUGCUACUAGAGCUGUCGCUCGUCGCCAAAGCGUUGCACUAAAGCUUUGGCCUGGCGCACCCCAA
rfam:Gossypium arboreum cultivar AKA8401 contig_12190_3, whole genome shotgun sequence.